AUGACUCUGAUCUCCGUCCUCAUCUGGACUCUCCUCUGCUGCUGCUUCACAGAGUCCAGAGGUCAGGUCACAGUGACUCAGCCUGGAGCAGUGAGCUCUGCUCGGGGAAACUCCGUCUCCAUCAGCUGUAGGACCAGUGAAGAUAUUGCCAUUGCAACCGGUUCAUAUUGGGGUUCGAAUAGUGGAAAACAAAUUUUGUAUUGGUACCAACAGAGCGAUGGAGAAGCUCCUAAACUGCUCAUUAAGUUUGUUAAUGAGCGAGCAUCAGGGAUUCCAGAUCGUUUUUCAGGCAGUGGAUCAAACUCUGACUUCACUCUGACCAUCAGUGGAGUUGAGGCUGAAGAUGCAGCAGUUUAUUACUGUCAGAGUGUUCAUUGGAUCAACGAUCAGAAUCUGUUCACACAGUGA